rnacentral:rRNA from 1 species
GGGUUGUGAGGUUAAGCGACUAAGCGUACACGGUGGAUGCCCUGGCAGUCAGAGGCGAUGAAGGACGUGCUAAUCUGCGAUAAGCGUCGGUAAGGUGAUAUGAACCGUUAUAACCGGCGAUUUCCGAAUGGGGAAACCCAGUGUGAUUCGUCACACUAUCAUUAACUGAAUCCAUAGGUUAAUGAGGCGAACCGGGGGAACUGAAACAUCUAAGUACCCCGAGGAAAAGAAAUCAACCGAGAUUCCCCCAGUAGCGGCGAGCGAACGGGGAGCAGCCCAGAGCCUGAAUCAGUGUGUGUGUUAGUGGAAGCGUCUGGAAAGGCGCGCGAUACAGGGUGACAGCCCCGUACACAAAAAUGCACAUGCUGUGAGCUCGAUGAGUAGGGCGGGACACGUGGUAUCCUGUCUGAAUAUGGGGGGACCAUCCUCCAAGGCUAAAUACUCCUGACUGACCGAUAGUGAACCAGUACCGUGAGGGAAAGGCGAAAAGAACCCCGGCGAGGGGAGUGAAAAAGAACCUGAAACCGUGUACGUACAAGCAGUGGGAGCACGCUUAGGCGUGUGACUGCGUACCUUUUGUAUAAUGGGUCAGCGACUUAUAUUCUGUAGCAAGGUUAACCGAAUAGGGGAGCCGAAGGGAAACCGAGUCUUAACUGGGCGUUAAGUUGCAGGGUAUAGACCCGAAACCCGGUGAUCUAGCCAUGGGCAGGUUGAAGGUUGGGUAACACUAACUGGAGGACCGAACCGACUAAUGUUGAAAAAUUAGCGGAUGACUUGUGGCUGGGGGUGAAAGGCCAAUCAAACCGGGAGAUAGCUGGUUCUCCCCGAAAGCUAUUUAGGUAGCGCCUCGUGAAUUCAUCUCCGGGGGUAGAGCACUGUUUCGGCAAGGGGGUCAUCCCGACUUACCAACCCGAUGCAAACUGCGAAUACCGGAGAAUGUUAUCACGGGAGACACACGGCGGGUGCUAACGUCCGUCGUGAAGAGGGAAACAACCCAGACCGCCAGCUAAGGUCCCAAAGUCAUGGUUAAGUGGGAAACGAUGUGGGAAGGCCCAGACAGCCAGGAUGUUGGCUUAGAAGCAGCCAUCAUUUAAAGAAAGCGUAAUAGCUCACUGGUCGAGUCGGCCUGCGCGGAAGAUGUAACGGGGCUAAACCAUGCACCGAAGCUGCGGCAGCGACGCUGAUGCGUUGUUGGGUAGGGGAGCGUUCUGUAAGCCUGCGAAGGUGUGCUGUGAGGCAUGCUGGAGGUAUCAGAAGUGCGAAUGCUGACAUAAGUAACGAUAAAGCGGGUGAAAAGCCCGCUCGCCGGAAGACCAAGGGUUCCUGUCCAACGUUAAUCGGGGCAGGGUGAGUCGACCCCUAAGGCGAGGCCGAAAGGCGUAGUCGAUGGGAAACAGGUUAAUAUUCCUGUACUUGGUGUUACUGCGAAGGGGGGACGGAGAAGGCUAUGUUGGCCGGGCGACGGUUGUCCCGGUUUAAGCGUGUAGGCUGGUUUUCCAGGCAAAUCCGGAAAAUCAAGGCUGAGGCGUGAUGACGAGGCACUACGGUGCUGAAGCAACAAAUGCCCUGCUUCCAGGAAAAGCCUCUAAGCAUCAGGUAACAUCAAAUCGUACCCCAAACCGACACAGGUGGUCAGGUAGAGAAUACCAAGGCGCUUGAGAGAACUCGGGUGAAGGAACUAGGCAAAAUGGUGCCGUAACUUCGGGAGAAGGCACGCUGAUAUGUAGGUGAAGCGACUUGCUCGUGGAGCUGAAAUCAGUCGAAGAUACCAGCUGGCUGCAACUGUUUAUUAAAAACACAGCACUGUGCAAACACGAAAGUGGACGUAUACGGUGUGACGCCUGCCCGGUGCCGGAAGGUUAAUUGAUGGGGUCAGCGCAAGCGAAGCUCUUGAUCGAAGCCCCGGUAAACGGCGGCCGUAACUAUAACGGUCCUAAGGUAGCGAAAUUCCUUGUCGGGUAAGUUCCGACCUGCACGAAUGGCGUAAUGAUGGCCAGGCUGUCUCCACCCGAGACUCAGUGAAAUUGAACUCGCUGUGAAGAUGCAGUGUACCCGCGGCAAGACGGAAAGACCCCGUGAACCUUUACUAUAGCUUGACACUGAACAUUGAGCCUUGAUGUGUAGGAUAGGUGGGAGGCUUUGAAGUGUGGACGCCAGUCUGCAUGGAGCCGACCUUGAAAUACCACCCUUUAAUGUUUGAUGUUCUAACGUGGACCCGUGAUCCGGGUUGCGGACAGUGUCUGGUGGGUAGUUUGACUGGGGCGGUCUCCUCCUAAAGAGUAACGGAGGAGCACGAAGGUUGGCUAAUCCUGGUCGGACAUCAGGAGGUUAGUGCAAUGGCAUAAGCCAGCUUGACUGCGAGCGUGACGGCGCGAGCAGGUGCGAAAGCAGGUCAUAGUGAUCCGGUGGUUCUGAAUGGAAGGGCCAUCGCUCAACGGAUAAAAGGUACUCCGGGGAUAACAGGCUGAUACCGCCCAAGAGUUCAUAUCGACGGCGGUGUUUGGCACCUCGAUGUCGGCUCAUCACAUCCUGGGGCUGAAGUAGGUCCCAAGGGUAUGGCUGUUCGCCAUUUAAAGUGGUACGCGAGCUGGGUUUAGAACGUCGUGAGACAGUUCGGUCCCUAUCUGCCGUGGGCGCUGGAGAACUGAGGGGGGCUGCUCCUAGUACGAGAGGACCGGAGUGGACGCAUCACUGGUGUUCGGGUUGUCAUGCCAAUGGCACUGCCCGGUAGCUAAAUGCGGAAGAGAUAAGUGCUGAAAGCAUCUAAGCACGAAACUUGCCCCGAGAUGAGUUCUCCCUGACUCCUUGAGAGUCCUGAAGGAACGUUGAAGACGACGACGUUGAUAGGCCGGGUGUGUAAG